AAAGUUUCCAUGUAGUUCAGUUCCCAGGGUUGUUCAACAAAGUACAGUAAGAUGGAUGAACCUUUCUAGGAGCAAAAAGUGACUGUCCCUGCCCUGAAGACCUUUCCAAACUAGAAAAGUCAGGAAGAGAAUCGGAUGGGAGCAGAGCACUCAGGUGACUUGCCUGCGGUCACCCAAGAUGAUGGUGGCAGAAGCAAAGCUGGGACUCGGGAUGCGUGUGUCAUAUUUUGGCCCUGUCCUCCAAGUCAUGCUGCUUCCUGGCCCAUAUACUGCGUGCAGUAGGGUCUGUGUGGUCUCCAGCAAGAUGCAGUACCUCAUCUUCUGAGUGUUUUUCCUGGCGCUACGAGAUCGCAUGGAGCCCAGCCCAGGGUAAUAAUGUGCUGCGUGUUCCCAAAACUGGGAACAAAAGGCUGUGUGCUGGUACAACUAUUUCCGCUAGAGGUGUGAUGUUUUUAGUGAAAUGGAUGCACCAACACGACCACUGGUUGGGGACAGUUGUAUUGGCACAAAGGGGCUUCAUACCACUGCCUUCUGGUGUGGAAAUUAAAAUUUCAGCAUAAAUAAUUAUCUUUAUACUGGUAUAGCUGUUUCUACCCUGGGGAAGCUGUAUCAUUUUGCUAUACCAGUCUACACAACCCUGUGUGCAGCCAGGCCUUCGCAGUGGCAUGCCUUCUGCAUAGUAAAGCCUUCGCGCUGGCCAGGCCCUCACCGUGCCAAGAAGAGCUGUGGAGAGUCAGUGACGUUACUGAGGUAUUGGAUGCUCUGCUUGAGUCCGUCUGUCAAAACCUGAAGGAGGAGGGGUGCCCUUGCUUACUUGCACUGGCCAGCACACUAGUCUGCAUCUCUGGCAUCAACUGGUGAGUGGUGUUGCUAUAUCUGGAGGCAGCCAGCUGGUAAAAUGAGAGCCAGUUUUUACAACACCUUACAACCAGGAAGAGUUGUUCCUCUUGCAGUGUCUGCCUAAGUUCGUUUUAUGGCAGAAGAAUAAAGCUCUGGUAGCAGAGCCA
rnacentral:lncRNA from 1 species